rnacentral:rRNA from 1 species
AUUGAACGCUGGCGGCAGGCCUAACACAUGCAAGUCGGGCGGUAACAGGGAUCAGCUUGCUGAUUCGCUGACGAGCGGCGGACGGGUGAGUAAUGUCUGGGAAACUGCCUGAUGGAGGGGGAUAACUACUGGAAACGGUAGCUAAUACCGCAUAACGUCGCAAGACCAAAGAGGGGGACCUUCGGGCCUCUUGCCAUCGGAUGUGCCCGGAUGGGAUUUGCUAGUAGGUGAGGUAAAGGCUCACCUAGGCGACGAUCCCUAGCUGGUCUGAGAGGAUGACCAGCCACACUGGAACUGAGGCACGGUCCAGACUCCUACGGGAGGCAGCAGUGGGGAAUAUUGCACAAUGGGCGCAAGCCUGAUGCAGCCAUGCCGCGUGUAUGAAGAAGGCCUUCGGGUUGUAAAGUACUUUCAGCGGGGAGGAAGGUGUUGUGGUUAAUAACCGCAGCAAUUGACGUUACCCGCAGAAGAAGCACCGGCUAACUCCGUGCCAGCCGCCGCCGUAACAC